rnacentral:rRNA from 1 species
UACGUAGGGUGCGAGCGUUAAUCGGAAUUACUGGGCGUAAAGCGUGCGCAGGCGGUUUUGUAAGCCAGAUGUGAAAGCCCCGGGCUUAACCUGGGAAUGGCAUUUGGGACUGCAAGGCUAGAGUGCGGCAGAGGGGGAUGGAAUUCCGCGUGUAGCAGUGAAAUGCGUAGAUAUGCGGAGGAACACCGAUGGCGAAGGCAAUCCCCUGGGCCUGCACUGACGCUCAUGCACGAAAGCGUGGGGAGCAAACAGG